rnacentral:sRNA from 2 species
GGUAGUUUUGAGGCCUAUAUGUCACAACACUUGAAAAACCAUAACCAAACCUCUGUUGGUACUUCUGAGAACUUAAAAAAAGCUGUUGAAAGUGCUUCAAACAGCACUGCUACAGCUGCUGCUAGUAGCUACUGGUUGCCAAAGCUUGCCCCUUUAGAAGUGCAACCCCUUGCUGAAGCCGACUACAAGUUCUACCAAGAUGUUGUGGAGUAUGAUGCUGACAACACAGGCAAGACUGAUGCCACAGAGGCAAUAAAUGC